AUUGGAAUGCAAAGUGGGUGGUAAGUUUCAUGUAAAGGUAAACAUGCAAUUGAGACUGAUAGCACACAAGUACCAUGAGGGAAAUAUGAAAAGGACUUUGAAAAGAGAAUUAAAUGAGUUUGUAUUUGCUGAACACAAAGUAAACAGACUUGAUUUGCUUGGUGGGAGUGUUGCACUUGCUUGACAAGAGCUUUGGGCUGUGGGUGUAAUGAUUCUUUCUUUGCAUGCCAGUUUCUAUUUGUACAUCUGAUUACCUUUGCACAUGAAUGAUAAGUCUCCUGUGGGGGGUGGAUUGCAUGUGCAUGUAAUGAUUUGUGUUUUGAUAAAUGUGUCUGGUGUAUGUGUGUGUUCCUGUGCUUGGGGAUGCUUCCUUCCUUGGACUUACAAGCCCUGACACACACAUGCUGGCAAAAUGCUUCUGCUUGACCCGUCUUGAAACACGGACCAAGGAGUCUAACAGAUGUGCAAAGUUUGAAGGUGGUAUACCUUUGUGUGCAAUGAAAGUGUCAGCUGGGAUAUGUGCACCAGCACCCAAUUAAUUAGCGGACAGAGGUUUGAGUUGGAGCAUAUCUAUUAGGACCCGAAAGAUGGUGAACUAUGCCUGAACAGAAUGAAUUCAGAGGAAACUCUGAUGGAGGUUCGUAUCGAUACUGACGUGCAAAUCGUUCGUCAUAUUUGGGUAUAGGGGCGAAAGACUAAUCGAACCAUCUAGUAGCUGGUUCCCUCCGAAGUUUCCCUCAGGAUAGCUGGAGUUGCUCAGUUUUAUCAGGUAAAGCGAAUGAUUAGAGGAAUUGGGGAC
rnacentral:rRNA from 1 species